UACGUAGGUGGCAAGCGUUGUCCGGAAUUAUUGGGCGUAAAGCGCGCGCAGGCGGUUCCUUAAGUCUGAUGUGAAAGCCCCCGGCUCAACCGGGGAGGGUCAUUGGAAACUGGGGAACUUGAGUACUGAAGAGGAAAGCGGAAUUCCACGUGUAGCGGUGAAAUGCGUAGAGAUGUGGAGGAACACCAGUGGCGAAGGCGACUUUCUGGUCUGUAACUGACGCUGAGGCGCGAAAGCGUGGGGAGCAAACAGG
rnacentral:rRNA from 1 species